rnacentral:rRNA from 1 species
CAGCAGUAGCCACGGGAAUACGAAGGGGGCUAGCGUUACUCGGAAUUACUGGGCGUAAAGGGCGCGUAGGCGGCACGAUUAGUCAGGCGUGAAAUUCCUGGGCUCAACCUGGGGACUGCGCUUGAUACGGUCGAGCUAGAGGAUGGAAGAGGGUUGUGGAAUUCCCAGUGUAGAGGUGAAAUUCGUAGAUAUUGGGAAGAACACCGGUGGCGAAGGCGGCAACCUGGUCCAUUACUGACGCUGAGGCGCGACAGCGUGGGGAGCAAACAGGAUUAGAUACCCCGGUAGUCCCUGUCUCUUAUAC